rnacentral:rRNA from 1 species
AGCGAACGCUGGCGGCAGGCCUAACACAUGCAAGUCGAACGAACUCUUCGGAGUUAGUGGCGGACGGGUGAGUAACACGUGGGAACGUGCCUUUUGGUUCGGAAUAACUCAGGGAAACUUGUGCUAAUACCGAAUGUGCCCUUCGGGGGAAAGAUUUAUCGCCAUUAGAGCGGCCCGCGUCUGAUUAGCUAGUUGGUGAGGUAACGGCUCACCAAGGCGACGAUCAGCAGCUGGUCUGAGAGGAUGACCAGCCACACUGGGACUGAGACACGGCCCAGACUCCUACGGGAGGCAGCAGUGGGGAAUCUUGCGCAAUGGGCGAAAGCCUGACGCAGCCAUGCCGCGUGAAUGAUGAAGGUCUUAGGAUUGUAAAAUUCUUUCACCGGGGACGAUAAUGACGGUACCCGGAGAAGAAGCCCCGGCUAACUUCGUG